UUAAGUUCAGCGGGUAGCCCUACCUGAUUUGAGGCCAGAUCAUGAGAUAUGUGGGGUUAUCAGCCACUUAGAAGGAUGAAACGUAUUACAUCCAAAGUUGCUUAUGCUUUUAAGGUGAGCCAGUGACGGCAAACACCCAAUCCACCACCGCUCGAGCAAAAACCCAAGUGGGGUGAGGUUUCAUGACACUCAAACAGGCA
rnacentral:misc_RNA from 1 species